rnacentral:rRNA from 1 species
GACGAACGCUGGCGGCGUGCCUAACACAUGCAAGUCGAACGGAAAGGCCCUGCUUUUGUGGGGUGCUCGAGUGGCGAACGGGUGAGUAACACGUGAGUAACCUGCCCUUGACUUUGGGAUAACUUCAGGAAACUGGGGCUCAUACCGGAUAGGAGCUCCUGCUGCAUGGUGUUGGUUGGAAAGUUUCGGCGGUUGGGGAUGGACUCGCGGCUCAUCAGCUUGUUGGUGGGGUAGUGGCUUACCAAGGCUUAGACGGGUAGCCGGCCUGAGAGGGUGACCGGCCACAUUGGGACUGAGGUACGGCCCAGACUGGUACGGGAGGCAGCAGGGGGGAAUAUGGCACAAUGGGGGGAAGCCUGAUGCAGCAGCGCCGCGUGCGGAAUGACGGGCUUCGGGGGGUAAACCGCUUUCGCCUGUGACGAAGCGUGAGUGACGGUAAUUGGUAAAGAAGCACCGGCUAACUACGUG